UACGGAGGGUGCAAGCGUUAUCCGGAUUCACUGGGUUUAAAGGGUGCGUAGGCGGACAUGUAAGUCUGUGGUGAAAUCUCCGAGCUUAACUCGGAAACUGCCGUGGAUACUAUAUGUCUUGAAUGUUGUGGAGGUUAGCGGAAUAUGUCAUGUAGCGGUGAAAUGCUUAGAUAUGACAUAGAACACCGAUUGCGAAGGCAGCUGGCUACACAACUAUUGACGCUGAGGCACGAAAGCGUGGGGAUCAAACAGG
rnacentral:rRNA from 1 species